rnacentral:lncRNA from 10 species
AAUGGAAAGGACCUAUACAUUUUUCUGUGGUUCAUAGGACCUGGAGCAACAAAGGGCAGCAUUGAAACUGACAGCAUUGACAUGUAAUUUGUCCUGCUGCCUGUUGGAACGUUCUUUUUCAGAUGCUGGAGGAGCAUGACAGAGGAGAGGUGGAGGUGAGGUGGGGAGGAGCAGAUGUUUUGCCUCUAGUGAGACAAUAAUUUACUUCCCUAUUAUUGUUUGACUUUGCCUUGUUUCUGCCUAUGAAUUACUAACAGAGGCUUGCAGCACUAUCUAUGGGGCCUGAAACAUACAAUAAGGGGCCAGAAGGCCUUGAGAGAGCUGAAAAAGAAAUCAUCACCCUAGCCUCACCCAGUCACCUGUCUCCAGGCAAAAUAAUUCCCUGUCCUUCAUGAUGAUUCGGAGAAGACCAGCCCCACUCAGCUGCUGUUGCCAACCAACCAUAGUUCUUGUUACCCUGGGCCACAAGUGCCUUAUCCACUAGAUUGAGAAAGUUAAUGCCAGAGGGAAGUGAGAAACUAACUAUGGAAGAGUGGACCCAUGUUGCAAAAACAAAGUUCUAGGGAAAGACGUGAACAAAGAUGGGUGAGUAUGAAUGGGGUCUGACUGGAACAUGGCAGAGAAGAAAUUCAACUAUGCAAUGAGAUAAAGCAAAGAUUCUAAUGAAAGACUGAUGUGGUCAUAAACAAACAAACAAACAAACAAAAAACAGGUGCCCAAUGAAUACUUCUAACUGAAAAAAAAUCUGAAGAUGCUGGUCAGAGGAUCCUCAGGAGGGAAAAAACCUGACUUUCCUUGGUAAGGGCCUGUGGAGCAAGUAAUUGCAGCUUGAACCAUGGGGUCUCCUUGGAGCUGCGGGCACCAAGCAUCAGAUCUGAACACAGAAGCUGGGCCAGUUUGUUAAGUAGGGUGCGGCAGAGACUGUUAGUUGCCUAUCCAAUAUCCAGUCUCCUCUUUUUCCUUGGUCACAUAACCCAGAUUUUAAUCUGGGUGGCAGUGUGCUCAGCUGAAAGACUACACUUGGAAGCCACAUUUGCAGCCUGAGGGCCAGUGAGACAUAAGCAGAAGUUGUUGGGUAGUCUUCUGUGGACUCCUUAAGAGGGAAUAGACUACUCACAGACUCCUUUUUCUCCUUCUCCCUUCCUUCCAUGCCUUUCUGGAACAGGAAGUUUAACAUGAUGAUUGGCGCUCUAGCUGUCACAUUGGACCAUGAAGUUAUGUUGUUUUUUUUUUUAAUUAAUUUUUAGUUUUAUUUCAGUGGUUUUGGGGGUAUAGGUGGUUUUUGAUUCCACG